UGAGCGAGGGAGGGUGGUGAGAGGCCACCACCCACAGGCACCAGCAACAGUGCACCCACAUGCACCCCCUACGCAUCGCCAAUGCACCCUGGAUGCAGCCUCUGCCCAACGUGUCCCCUAGCUGGAGCUUCUCCUUGGCCACUAAUGAGUGUCGCAAAGGGCUGCAGCCUUUUGCAUCCCUUAGCCAUCCCUGAGAGUCCCCCCAGAGCUUCUGGCCCUACUCCCUAUGGCAGCAGGGCCAGCACCUGCCCCCUGCUGCUCCUCACCCCCAGUUCUCUGUCUUUGUAGGCACUGUGAUGAAAUGUCUCUACUAUGUAGCACCCCAUGGCUGGCCAUGCCCCUGUCCUGAUUGCUGCUGCCAGUCCUCCAGGGCCAGCAUUGCAGGGACAACCAUGUGGGGGGUCCCAAGAAAUGGAUGUAGACACCGGGUGGAGCCAGAUGCCGUCAGUGACAGGGAGCACCAUGGCGAGCCAUCAGCCUUGCCAGCUCUGGACACAUGGACCAAUAUCUGGAUGCGGGGUAGAGGCUUCAGGACCUGAUGAAAUGCCAUCUUAGGGUUGCUGCCCCCCACCACUGGAGUUUCCUGGAUGUGCCAGGAGAGAGACUGAGGGCCCAGAGAGAGAUCAGUCGGACUGAGAGUCUGGCUAGGUCACUUAAGGAACAUCAGGAUCACUACAGGAGUCAAGGGCAGCCACCCAAUUCAUAUAAGAUACACAUCAAUGUACAGCAGGUGAA